GUGAUUACCACUGUCCACAGACUAUUCACCAUGGACAUGGAGAUUACCUGGAUUUUCCUUGUCUUUAUUUUUAAAGGUGUCCAGAGUGAAGUGCAUCUGGUGGAGUCUGGAGGAGGCUUGGUGUAGCCUGGAAAGUCCCUGAAACUCUCCUGUGCAGCCUCUGGAUUCACCUUCAGUGACUAUAGAAUGCACUGGGUCCGCCAGGCUCCAGGGAAGGGGCUGGAGUGGGUCGCAGACAUUGAAUAUGAUGGAAGUAGCAUCUACUAUGCCGACGCCGUGAAGGGCCGGUUCACCAUCUCCAGAGACAACGCCAAGAACACCCUCUACCUGCAAAUGAACAGUCUGAGGUCUGAGGACACGGCCACAUAUUACUGUGCAGCAGACACAGUGAGGAGGUUCCUGAAAGUGAUGAAGGAGUCCUCGAGGCACAGGUAUCCCACAGACCCCAGCCUCCCAAUGAUGCUCUGCCCCAGCGUCACUGCAGAGUUUAACUCAUUGAAUGAGAAGCUCCAAGACGUUGACUCAGCACAUGGAUAUUACAGGACUCUCAUCACAGAACCAAUAGAAAUGAAUCUGAAUUUGGUGCACAGUGAACACACCAUACUUCAGUGGACUUCAGUUGAGCCAUGGAAGGAAACCAGCAUGGAUAAAUCGGUUCUCAUCUGA